rnacentral:tRNA from 1 species
GCCCGUGUAGUUUACCGGAUCAGAAUGCGAGGUUGCGGACCUUGUGGACGGGGUUCAAUUUGCGGAAAGCGAGUAAAUAAGCGAGCGAAAGCGAGCUUUCGCAACUCAGUGCUGCCGUAUGCAAGUCCCCGCACGGGCA